UACGGGGGGGGCAAGCGUUGUUCGGAAUUACUGGGCGUAAAGGGCUCGUAGGUGGCCAACUAAGUCAGACGUGAAAUCCCUCGGCUUAACCGGGGAACUGCGUCUGAUACUGGAUGACUUGAGUUUGGGAGAGGGACGCGGAAUUCCAGGUGUAGCGGUGAAAUGCGUAGAUAUCUGGAGGAACACCGGUGGCGAAGGCGGCGUCCUGGACCAACACUGACACUGAGGAGCGAAAGCCAGGGGAGCAAACGGG
rnacentral:rRNA from 1 species